rnacentral:RNase_P_RNA from 1 species
GAGUAAUCGCUGGAACACAUUCGUGUUGCUGAGGAAAGUCCAUGCACGCACGGUUCUGAGAUGACCGUAGUGAUCGUAUUUCGCGAAUAAAUAAGCGGAAGUAGCUGAAAUGCUAACGGCGGAAGGAAAACCUAAGUCUUUGGAUAGGGUUGACACUUCCUGAAAAGUGCCACAGUGACGAAGUCUAACAGGAAACUGUUAGAGUGGAACGAGGUAAACCCUGCGAGUGUGCAACCCAAAUUAUGGUAGGGGCGCCGUACCGACGGAAUUGAACAGAGGUAUGGAUUGGCUGUCUUUAUACAGUCAAUAGAUAGAUGAUUACUACCCAGAGUACGAGGCUUACGCCGUUUGAGUACAAGGGCACAAAACAUGGCUUAUA